rnacentral:rRNA from 1 species
AAAUUGAAGAGUUUGAUCAUGGCUCAGAUUGAACGCUGGCGGCAGGCCUAACACAUGCAAGUCGAACGGUAACAGGAAACAGCUUGCUGUUUCGCUGACGAGUGGCGGACGGGUGAGUAAUGUCUGGGAAACUGCCUGAUGGAGGGGGAUAACUACUGGAAACGGUAGCUAAUACCGCAUAACGUCGCAAGACCAAAGAGGGGGACCUUCGGGCCUCUUGCCAUCGGAUGUGCCCAGAUGGGAUUAGCUAGUAGGUGGGGUAACGGCUCACCUAGGCGACGAUCCCUAGCUGGUCUGAGAGGAUGACCAGCCACACUGGAACUGAGACACGGUCCAGACUCCUACGGGAGGCAGCAGUGGGGAAUAUUGCACAAUGGGCGCAAGCCUGAUGCAGCCAUGCCGCGUGUAUGAAGAAGGCCUUAGGGUUGUAAAAGUACUUUCAGCGGGGAGGAAGGGAGUAAAGUUAAUACCUUUGCUCAUUGACGUUACCCGCAGAAGAAGCACCGGCUAACUCCGUGCCAGCAGCCGCGGUAAUACGGAGGGUGCAAGCGUUAAUCGGAAUUACUGGGCGUAAAGCGCACGCAGGCGGUUUGUUAAGUCAGAUGUGAAAUCCCCGGGCUCAACCUGGGAACUGCAUCUGAUACUGGCAAGCUUGAGUCUCGUAGAGGGGGUAGAAUUCCAGGUGUAGCGGUGAAAUGCGUAGAGAUCUGGAGGAAUACCGGUGGCGAAGGCGGCCCCCUGGACGAAGACUGACGCUCAGGUGCGAAAGCGUGGGGAGCAAACAGGAUUAGAUACCCUGGUAGUCCACGCCGUAAACGAUGUCGACUUGGAGGUUGUGCCCUUGAGGCGUGGCUUCCGGAGCUAACGCGUUAAGUCGACCGCCUGGGGAGUACGGCCGCAAGGUUAAAACUCAAAUGAAUUGACGGGGGCCCGCACAAGCGGUGGAGCAUGUGGUUUAAUUCGAUGCAACGCGAAGAACCUUACCUGGUCUUGACAUCCACGGAAGUUUUCAGAGAUGAGAAUGUGCCUUCGGGAACCGUGAGACAGGUGCUGCAUGGCUGUCGUCAGCUCGUGUUGUGAAAUGUUGGGUUAAGUCCCGCAACGAGCGCAACCCUUAUCCUUUGUUGCCAGCGGUCCGGCCGGGAACUCAAAGGAGACUGCCAGUGAUAAACUGGAGGAAGGUGGGGAUGACGUCAAGUCAUCAUGGCCCUUACGACCAGGGCUACACACGUGCUACAAUGGCGCAUACAAAGAGAAGCGACCUCGCGAGAGCAAGCGGACCUCAUAAAGUGCGUCGUAGUCCGGAUUGGAGUCUGCAACUCGACUCCAUGAAGUCGGAAUCGCUAGUAAUCGUGGAUCAGAAUGCCACGGUGAAUACGUUCCCGGCCUUGUACACACCGCCCGUCACACCAUGGGAGUGGGUUGCAAAAGAAGUAGGUAGCUUAACCUUCGGGAGGGCGCUUACCACUUUGUGAUUCAUGACUGGGGUGAAGUCGUAACAAGGUAACCGUAGGGGAACCUGCGGUUGGAUCACCUCCUUA